UACGAAGGGGGCUAGCGUUGUUCGGAAUUACUGGGCGUAAAGCGCGCGCAGGCGGUCUUCCAAGUCAGUGGUGAAAGCCCGGAGCUCAACUCCGGAACUGCCAUUGAAACUGUAAGACUUGAGGACGAGAGAGGUGAGUGGAAUUCCCAGUGUAGAGGUGAAAUUCGUAAAUAUUGGGAAGAACACCAGUGGCGAAGGCGGCUCACUGGCUCGUAUCUGACGCUCAGGCGCGACAGCGUGGGGAUCAAACAGG
rnacentral:rRNA from 1 species